GGAUUCUUAAUCUGUGGUUCUCAGACUUUUGACUAUUUGGGAGUUCUCUUGUUCUUGGAUUCAUCAGGCAUCCUUUUGUUUCCUGCUUUCUCCUGCAAGACCAAUAUCAUGCAGGACUUCUGGCUAUUGAAGGGUGAAGAACAGAUUGGAGGCAGGAGAAAUGACUAAGCACACAGUCUGCUUGUUUGAUUGAGCCUGAGUGACAAAAAGCAUAAACGAACCAAGUAUCCCUUCUAGGUAUAAUCAAUUAGGUUGGUAAAGCCUGAAGGAGGCUCUCCAGUGAUGCUGCCACCUCCCAGGAGGGAUACCAUGUUGAUGUCUCAGAAGUAAUGUGAGCUGGUGGAGAGAUCCCUGAUGCUAUUACUAACCAGCCACACUAUCUUGAACAAGUCACUUCAUCUUUUUGUGCUUUACCUAAUGCUAGCAAGAGCUUGUACUUAUUGAAUUCUUAUUAUGAUCUAGCCUCUGGAUUAUUACAUUUGUUACUUGCAUGAGCUGACUUUCAUGAGCUCAUGGCAAUACUCCUAUAAAUGCACGUGCUAUGAUAUUUUGCCUAUUUUUUUACAGAUGGGGAAAGGGUGGCUUAGAGAAACCAAAUAUGACUUGCUCAACAAAUAACUUCUAAGGAAUAACAUGGAAUCAGGUUCAAAUCUUCUUGGCCCCCAAGUCCAUGCUCCUAACCACAUGUGAAGAUUUCAUCUUCAUCUGUGGAAAUGGGGAUAACAAAGACAUGCGCAACCCCCAUAGCUGGGCUCUUGGGGGCUCAGUGAGAUAAUUUAUGGUCAACAUAGUGUCCAAAAUCCAGGAUUCCUGUCCCAGAACAAGGGUCUGGGGCUUAUUCUUAUUCAGUUUAGCCACCGAGUACUGGUAAGGGGAUCCUCACUGCCUUUCCCCUGCCGGUCCCGGGGAUCCCUCUUUAGGUUUGUAAGUGUUCUGGGGUACUAGGCUUGGAAAUGUUCUAGUUGCCGUGUAAAGUCAUCACUCCUGGUGGGCAGUCAAUAGACAAAUCACUUCAUACACCUGAAAAAUACUUAGGCUUUUUCUCAGGCCAGAGCCUUUCCUUCUCCCCAGACUCCCAGAGCCCCAGCUGAUCAUCAAAUAAACUUGCUCCUCCUCAGUAAUUCCCUCACCAAACUCUAUUUUUUCACAUGAAUUUUCUCCACCUCUAAAACCGUCUAUUUUCAUUUGCUUUUAUAAAAGGCCUUGUUUUGCCAUUAAACUCAGAGUUAGAACUAGUAUCAGGCUAAAAACUGGUUUUAUUUCUUUGAAGUUAAGAAAAGCUUAAGCUUCAAACAUUCUUAGGAAGUGUGGGGAAAAUAUAUAUGUAUACAUUCUAACUUUCUAAUGCAGCACAGAAUAGAUAUAUGAGCAAAAGUGUUGUUUUCAUAAUAAAGAAGGUUGAAUGCUCAUACCCUGUCACAUAAAUAACAGUGCUUUGAAAACUGCAAAGUCAUCCAGAAAUGUAAAGAAAUAUAAGAACAGUUGAAUCACCCCCCCAAGACUUGGUGAAUGUUACUGAAGUAUUCUCAUUUAGUGGUAGUUUCCAAAUUUCUUUGUCCAUGUGAACCACAGAAAUUGUGUUAGGCAGAUAACAGGCACACACAUCUUGUGAUUAACUAGAGGAGUCCUUAAUAAUGACGUGUAAUUCUUCAGGUGAACAUACUGGUUAACAAAUAUACAAUGUAGAACGAUACUCAAUGGUUCACCAAAAUUUUACACAUAUUAACUCUUUAUAUACCUAUUUAGAAACUAACGUAUUAGGAUAAUUGUCCAAAUUACAUUAAUAGUUUCAGUGCAUUUUUUUUUUUGUUUUGAGUGGGCAUGAACUGUUAUCUUAAAAAGAAAAAAGUUGAACUAAAAAGACAUUGAAAACAAAAUAUCCAUUUUUGCCAUAGAUGUUAAAAAUGGAAUAAUCAAAUAUAAGAUGAAAUAAAUAUUCAUGAGUCAUGAUCCAGCUUUUUCACUGUAUGGGAA
rnacentral:lncRNA from 10 species